GAUUUCUGGGGUAGCGGCGAAAUGCUAUAAUCCUGGAAGGACCACCGAUAGCGAAGGCACCUAACUAGAACGGGCUCGACGAUGAGGGACGAGAGCUAGGGGAGCAAACCGGAUUAGAUACCCGGGUAGUCCUAGCCGUAAACGAUGCAGACUGAGUGUCUCCUGAACCUCGAGUUCAGGAGGUGCUGAAGGGAAACCGUUAAGUCUGCCGCCUGGGGAGUACGGUCGCAAGGCUGAAACUUAAAGGAAU
rnacentral:rRNA from 1 species